ACGAACGCUGGCGGUGUGCUUAACACAUGCAAGUGGUGCGACGAACCCGAGCUUGCUCUGGGGCAAAGCCGCGAACGGGUGAGUAACACGUGGGUAAUCUACCCCGAUGACCGGGACAACCCGAGGAAACUCGGGCUAAUACCGGAUGUGGUGCGGAGACAUAAGUCUCUUCACUAAAGGUAGCUUCGGCUUCCGCAUUGGGAGGGGCCCGCGGCCCAUUAGCUUGUUGGUGGGGUCAAGGCCUACCAAGGCAACGAUGGGUAGCUGGUCUGAGAGGACGAUCAGCCACACUGGGACUGAGACACGGCCCAGACUCCUACGGGAGGCAGCAGUGGGGAAUCUUGCGCAAUGCGCGAAAGCGUGACGCAGCAACACCGCGUGAGGGAAGAAGGCCUUAGGGUUGUAAACCUCUUUCAGAUGGGACGAAGGUUCUCCGGUGAAUAGCCGAGAGGAUUGACGGUACCGUCAGAAGAAGCUCCGGCUAACUACGUG
rnacentral:rRNA from 1 species